CACCUCUGUUCAGUAAUGGUUGAGUCUGGAUUUCUAUCUCGCCGCUUGUCUCAACAGUGGCUGUGCCUGUGGACGGAGCGUGAGGGCAGAAGGGGGCAGAGGAAAGAUGCAGUGGAGGAGCUACCUGUGAAUUAUUUCGCUUUUCUUCGGACAAUGAGUGUUUUUCCUAGCUUUUGGAUUCCUUUGGUGCUUUUUUUAGUGUUGAGCUGUGAUGGUGUUCAGGUGACGGUAAAAGAUGAGAGGAAGUUUGCCGUGCUGUUCGCGCCCGUGGUCCUGCAGUGCCAGUACAGCACCCACUCUACUCAGACUGCAGUUGUGCAGUGGUGGUAUAAGUCAUAUUGUACAGACCGCACCCGCGAUUCCUUCACCUUUCCAGAGAGUCUGGGGGUCCAGGGCUCUGAGCUGGGAUCUACAGCCCACCUGGACUGUGCAGACAAGAGCCGCACUGUCCGCAUCGUGGCCUCCGGUCAGGGAGCCUCCUUGACCCUGGCUGAACAUUAUAAAGGGAGAGAUAUCACCAUUAUCAACAAAGCAGACCUGCGCAUUGGAGAGCUGCAGUGGGGUGACAGCGGCGUGUAUUUCUGUAAGGUGGUCAUCUCUGAUGAUCUGGAGGGGAAGAAUGAAGGCCAAGUGGAGCUGCUGGUUCUGGGUAAGACAGGUGUGCUGGACGACGUCCUGCCUGAGUUUGAGCUGGAGAUUAUGCCAGAGUGGGUGUUUGUGGGGUCAGUAGUGCUGGGCAGUGUUUUGUUCCUGCUGCUGGUUGGGGUGUGCUGGUGUCAGUGCUGUCCUCACUCCUGCUGCUGUUACCUGCGCUGCUGCUGCUGUCCUGAUACCUGCUGCUGUCCUAAGCACUUGUAUGAAGCUGGAAAGAGGGCAAAGAGUGGACAGCCUCCACAGAUCGCCAUGUAUUCUCCAUAUUACAUUCCUGCCCCAGUGAUUCCUCAAGCGGCACCAUCUCUGAUUGAACCCAAGAUAUCUACAGUGCCCCCCUCGGUGGAGAACAAUAUUGCUGCAGUGCGCAGUGGCUAUCGUCUCCAGGCCAGUCAGGGUCAGGACGCUAUGAAAGUUGUGUACUACAUAGAGAGAGACCUGGCACAGUUCCAGACGGCCAAGGGAGCCGGCCAUCCAUCUGGCAGCCUAUCAGAGCUGAGCUCACUGCAUGAUGGGGAUAUAGACUUCAGGCGAACCUAUCGGCAGGUGCAGAAGAAAGCUCUGCCACCGAUCAGUGACCACAACGAUACACACCUCCGUACAGUGUCUACAGGUCACACACUCCGACCCACAAUCUAUCAGAGCAACUGCAAUGAAGACCUACAUGACAGCAGGUGGAACUGCCGCUCAGAGCACUUGCCCAGGAAGGCAUUUGACAGCAGGGGCCGCACUUGCUCUCUGGAUGAGUUGGAAGAAUUUGCGAGGAGUUAUGGGCCCCGCGCUGGUCGAAGGGGUGACCUCCGUGACCACGAGCGAGAUAUUGAAAUGGAGCUCAGGUCCCGGGACUUCCGUCCCCCGUAUCGGGACGGUCCGCGGCGAUACCGCAGUGAUGAGGAGGAGGACGAUGAUUGGCGGCGUCGCAGCCCCCCGUCCUCCCCUCAGAAGAGGCGAGACACCGGUGAUAGCGAGCGUUAUGCUGCUCGUAGACAGUCGUAUGAUGACGCCUACCUGACCUCUGUUCUGGAGCGGAAAGCCAGAGGGCGAGGGGAAAGGGGUGGACGGGCCGAUGAGGACAGUGACACACCCUCAAAGGGCAGCUUCAAGAAGAGCAGUGACUGUUACUACAGCCGUUCACCAAGUAACCGCCCUGACGAGGAUGACCCUCUGCCCCCGUACUGCGAGGUGGAGCGUUAUCGAACUGAGAAGCCCGCAGAACGGGAGCGCUACAGGACGGUGGAUGCUGGGGCACGGCCUUUCUCUUACACUCGUCCUGGUCAAACUAUGUCCCACACUCUGCAGGAGCGCAGAGAGGAGAGGGACAAGCCCAGGAAACUGGUGAGUUACUUAUGAAAAGAGGCUCUGCUGUAACUCAGCCUUAACUUUCACUUUAAAGAGGUCAACAGUCAACACAACUCAACAGAGCUGAAGAUGGAUUAAUAGGAUGCAGAUGCAGGCCAUCAGAAAGACAUACCUAUAAAAAUCCCAAAGAUUACACAUCUACAAAACCAAGAACCACAACAUUUAUCAGGAGUUCUGAUAAACAUAGUUACAGGAACCAGAGAAGUUCCGUCUAGACGUUGAGAAAAAGGACCCUCAGGAUGUUUUAGACUGACUGCCACUAUUAAUUAGCACAGCAGUCAUUCACUGUUACCCUGUGUGGGUGCAUGACAUGAACAUUCUGGGGCCAGCCAGAGCUUUCUGUACGUAUGAUUAUUUGAACAGAACAUCCAUACCCACCUCAACCAACACAGUGUUUAGGGUUAGGGCAUAAUGCGACCUCUCUCAAACUAAUUAAAUUGCUUUUAAACUCUCCUCUGAGGCAAACUUGUCUUUUAAAGAAUUCUAUCAACACAAGAGCACGAGUCAGAAUGGAAAUUGCACACAACAGUGUGACUUUAUAUAUUCAGUCUUGUAAAAUGAUGAGGCCCCUUCAUGCUUACGUCACAUGUGUGGCCGAGCUUGAAACCUGAUUCACUCAUAUGUCAUUCACAUGUUUUACAUUGUCAAAACCACCCACCAAGAUUUACUUCUGUCAUUUGAUUCCUUCUGGGUGUGAAGGUUUUUGUCAGAAGGUCUCCUAUGGCAUCACAUCAAUGUCAAAAGGCAGGAAAGCAAAAAUGACAAGAGAAAAAAAUUAACCAGUGUGUUAUAUCAUUUUGUGUGUGUAAAUUAACUUCACGUGAGCACAAAUGUGAAACUCGCAAGCAAAAAAAGAGAAUUGUGUGCACGCAGAACAGAAUAUCACUCUCAAGCUUCAUUUUUCUCCUCUCAGGUGUUUUUUUUACCUCUCAAAUUUACAGUUCUCCUCGCGUGCCAUGCAGAUUACCUGCGGCUGCUGUUUGUGCUCAAGUGAGUGUUGUGUGCUCGAGUUUUGAAAGGAGUGGUUUUCACAGUUUGGGGGCGGAGUCAGGGUCGCUUCCCUCAGCGAACGCUAUUGGCUGAUAUCUCCAGGGUUUGUGUCGGACCGCCUACCUCCAAGAGCCAGAGGAGGGCGAGAAAGAAGGACAACAGGAGAGUUAGCUAGCUGGCUAUGCUAACAUCCAAACAAGGCACUUUUCAGUGCUGUUAGCCCGGGUUUAGUGCCUGGAGCGACCGGCUUUCAAAACCACCACUUUCAAAACUCCAGUGCUAAAAACUCACUUGAGCGAAAAACAGCAGCCGCAGACCAGUCAUCUAAGCAGAGAAUCCCUCAUUGUUUGAAGUCACCCAACAGCCUCAGAGUGUCUGCCAUGCUGAUCAGACUGGA